rnacentral:lncRNA from 1 species
UUUUUUUUUUUUUUUUUAUUCAGGAAACAUUCCACUUGCAGCCCAUAUUUAUGGAUUGUAAAAUUGUGACAUGUAAAAAUUUUGAGUUCAUGAAUGCUUCCUGUGAAAAGUGUGCUUCUAAGAAAAGUCUGCUUUCUUAUGAAGAAAAGACAAGCUGAGCUUGGGGGAUGUGUGCAUAUCUUAGAUGUAGCCCUGUCUGGAAGGAAACUUGGAGGUUUCCUCCAGACUAGAAUUUUCCUUCUCUCCAUUUUACCCCUCACCUGCUAUGUAGUUUCUUUAUAUGAUGUAGCCUACGCAACUAGGGUUCUGAAUAGUAUUUCUUUAGUACUCUUUAGCCUUAAGUGAUAGCUCCCUUACCCAGUUCUUCAGUCUAGACUCUUUACUGUUUCAACUGAUCCUUCCCUGUUGGCUUCCUUUCCCACUUUCUGUAUUCUCUCCCUUCAGCUGAUGGUCUUCUUAAGAUUUUUAUUUUUAAUCGGUUGUAUUGAUGAUAAAGACAAGUGUAGGAUGCAGCUCUGGUUUCAUUGAGUUAGGCUGACAUGAAGGUGCAUCCAGUAAUUCAACUAGUGCCCCUCCCUCCACCCUAUGGGUUUCUCUGUGUAACCCUGGCUGUCUCAGGCUGGCCUUGAACUCAGAGAUUCAUUAGCCUCUGUCUCCCACAUGUUGGGAUUAAAGGCAUGUACACCCAGCCCUCAGUUUUUAUCUUUAUUUUUUUCCAGAUCUCAUCUAUCUUUCCUAAUUAGUUAUUCAUAGCUCGCCAAUAGCAGAGCAAAAGAAAUUUACUUUCCCCAAAAUAAAUGACAUUUGUAUUUGUGACCCAUGUUAUUCUGUAUUGAAAUGGAGCAGCACAUUUCUUGCUGUUGAAUGACAAGAUGUUUGUUUGAAGAAGCUUAUAUUUUAGGAGACCAGAAUUUAUUCUGAUGUUUGAAGACAUAGACAUUGUUAUAGAAAGUAGGUCAACUUUUCAGUACCUUUAUCAAAGCACCUGCAGUUCCCAUUUCAUUGCAAGUGAAGUAAAUCUCAUUGAAUAAAGUAGCUGGUGUGUAUAUUCAAUCUACUUUUAAAAUAGAGGAGUCUAUUUUAAAAGGGAAAUUGAUGCCAAUCUGAUUUCUCUGCUGCUUCUUUGUUGGAAUGGGGGAAUUCUGUAACCUUUCUGCUCUUCUUUCCUCUGCUGGCUUUGCAAACUAGGACACCGUUGGGUACUUGAGCACCUACCCUGCUGAAGGUCAGCCAGAGGAGGAGGAGGUACGACUGUAAGUGUAUAGAAGUCCCUAGUCACAGAUAGACCUUAGGAUCACAGUUAGAAAAAAAAAAAGUAGAGAACCUGGUAUGACACAUGUCUGUAAUCCCAGUAUUUUGAGGAAGCUGAGGCAGAAGAUUGGGAGUUUGAGGCCAGCCUAUGCUAAAUGGUGGACCUUGCCAAAAAUACCGAUAAAUAGGACUGGUUAGAUGGCUCAAUGGGUAAGACGCUUGCUGCCAAACUUGAUGACUUCUGCAUGCUUGCCUUACGACAUAGGUUCAUACACAUAUACAUGCAUAUGCAAAAUUACUGUAAAAUAAUAAAAGGGAGCUAGCCACGGUGCAUGAAUGGAGAAAUGGAGAAUGGAGGGCCAGGAAUUACCUUACCAUUGGUAAGUGGUGAGUUUAGUGGGACACAUGAGACCUUGUCUCAAAAACAGCAGACCUGGAACCAACUAAACAAGGAAGUAUUUAAAUAAAAACAAAAUGAAGUUGGUUUACUUUUUUUUUUUAAUUUAACUGUAUUCAUUGAGCAUGAGAAACAUCUUUACUUAAAAGAAGGCAGGUGUGGUGGUAUCCAUGCAGCUCUAGCACCUGAGGCUAAUGUGGGACGAUAGGAGAUGGGAACUAGCUAGGCUAGAUAGAUAGCAAGACUCUUUCCAAAAGCAAAACAGAAAAGACC